AUUGAACGCUGGCGGCAGGCCUAACACAUGCAAGUCGAACGGUAACAGGAAGCAGCUUGCUGCUUUGCUGACGAGUGGCGAACGGGUGAGUAAUGUCUGGGAAACUGCCCGAUGGAGGGGGAUAACUACUGGAAACGGUAGCUAAUACCGCAUAACGUCGCAGGACCAAAGAGGGGGACCUUAGGGCCUCUUGCCAUCGGAUGUGCCCAGAUGGGAUUAGCUAGUAGGUGGGGUAACGGCUCACCUAGGCGACGAUCCCUAGCUGGUCUGAGAGGAUGACCAGCCACACUGGAACUGAGACACGGUCCAGACUCCUACGGGAGGCAGCAGUGGGGAAUAUUGCACAAUGGGCGCAAGCCUGAUGCAGCCAUGCCGCGUGUAUGAAGAAGGCCUUCGGGUUGUAAAGUACUUUCAGCGGGGAGGAAGGGAGUAAAGUUAAUACCUUUGCUCAUUGACGUUACCCGCAGAAGAAGCACCGGCUAACUCCGUG
rnacentral:rRNA from 1 species